rnacentral:rRNA from 1 species
UACGUAGGGGGCAAGCGUUGUCCGGAAUCAUUGGGCGUAAAGAGCGUGUAGGCGGCUCGAUAAGUCCGCUGUGAAAGUCCAGGGCUCAACCCUGGAAGGCCGGUGGAAACUGUCGGGCUAGAGUCCGGAAGAGGCGAGUGGAAUUCCCGGUGUAGCGGUGAAAUGCGCAGAUAUCGGGAGGAACACCUAUUGCGAAGGCAGCUCGCUGGGACGUAACUGACGCUGAGACGCGAAAGCGUGGGGAGCAAACAGG